AAAAUUAUUAAUAAAUUAAAAUAAGAUUUGAAAUAGAAUUUGUUCGGUUGAAAUUGGUCCGAAUUGGUUAUGAAAAAAGGGUAAACAACUAAGAGACGUGGAGAAUCGAACCCGCAGUAUUCUCGGUUGUGUCAAGGGUGUUUAAGGUCCUAUUUAGCUAUUAAAAACAUUAUUUGACCUAUAGACACAAUAUCAUUUUUUAGUGAAGGAUGUUCGACUGAUCACCCUUCCAUCACUGUAGUUCCGCCACUGAAUACACAUCAAAACUCGUCUUUAUUGAAAAAUUGAAGGGAGAUCCUUGUCCUUAGAAUAAAGAACUCACCCAUGUAACAAUUAACAAGUACAUGUGUCUGAAUGCACAAUCAUGUCGCUUUUCACUUAAAGUUGAGCUUCACGUCCACACUUGUGUAUAUUGAAAAAUUGACGAGAACCUAGAAGAAAAUUCUCACACGCAAAACAAUUAAUAAGUACACUUUUGAACGCUCAAGUCACGUAACAAUACACUUGUCCGAAUACUCAAGGCAUGUGGUCUCACUAACCAACCUCAAUUAAUUGAUCAUUUCAAUUUUCAAUCUUGCACUUAGCUUUUCUUACUUCUUUAGCUUAACUGCAAAUCUCUGAGCAUCUAACCAGCUAGCAUGAGUAUACUUACCUUCAAGAUUUAGUUUUCUUAGUUCCUUCUACUAAUUGACAAAUUUGAACACCAAAUUUAAACUAAUUAAGUUACCUAAAUGACUUAGAGUUAAGAUACACGUCAAAAAUCGUCUAUAUCUAAUGGAAGGAAAACAAUUUUCAUCAAAAAAAUAAACUCACACACAUAGCAAUUAACAAGUACACUUGUCUGAAUGCUCAAAGCACGUGGCCCAAGUGACCUUAACCAGUCCAUUUCCAUUUUGCCCUUGGAUUUUCUUACUUCUUCAACUUAAUUGCAAAUCUCUGAGCAUCUAAUCUUAGCUCGAGCAGACUUGGCUUCAAGAUUUAGUUUGCUAGUUCUCUCUACCAAAUAGCUAAUAUGGAAACCAAAUCUAAACAAAUUAAAUGACUUAAAAUUGAGAUACACGUAAAAUCAUCUUUAUUGACGAAUCGAAUAAACACUAUUUUGUUAAAGGUAAGAAAGAGUUCAUACGAGUAACAAUUAACAAGUACACUUGUCCGCAUGCUCAAGGCAUUGUGGCUUCACUAGGUAACCCCAACUAAUUAAUUUUCAUUUUGCUUUAGCCUUUUUAAAAAUCUCUGAAUGCCAAACCUGAGCUAACUGAGCUUCAACAUUUAGUUUGUAGUUCUUUCUAACUUACUUACUAACCAAUUUGUAUACCAACUCUAAACUAAUCAGGCUAACUAAAUGAUGUAAUGCUGAGAUACACAUCAAAAUUCGUUUAUAAUUAUCAAAGAAAAGUCCGUCCGUUCACAGUAAGAAAGAACUCACACGCGUAGCAGUUAAUAAGACACUUGUUUGAAUGCUCGAGGCGCGUGGACUCACUAAGUGUCCCAACUAAUUCAUUUAAGUUUGGCCUUUGUCAUUCUUACUUCUUAAACUUGGCUACAAAUCUCCAAGCAUCAAACCUAGGCUUGAGUAGACUUAGCUUCAAGAUUGAGCAGAAGGUUGCCACCAUCAUUAUGUUGUAGCUUCUCCAAACGUUGACGGCCUAAAGGACGUCAAAGAGAAGCACAAACAAGCAAGAGAUUCACCAACGGCGCAAAAAGGAAAUAGUUCCUGUGUUUUGGUUUCCCACGUGAUUUGACACUCUCCCUAAUAAUUCUACAAUACCAUCUUUCCGGAAAAAAAAAUCACUUCAACGUCACAAGAUUCUAUAAAUCCUCUAUUUUGCAAAUAAGACAUUGUUUGCCAUUUUAAAUCAGCUACUUAAAAGCUCCACAUUCCUUGCCUCUUACCAUUAACGGCAAUCCAACAAACAAUUUAACAUGCCUAUGGAUUAUGAUGUUCAUGAACAUGGUAGUAGCUCAAGUACCACGGGCCACAUCGUCGAUGGUUGCGUUGCGAUUUUCUUCGUGUGUAUGGUUCUCUUUUGGCUGUUCAAAUGCUGCUGCGCAAGUCUACAAACGGAAAAGACUGAACAGCCAUCAACUGCACCACCUGAUGAUCGACAGGAUCAUAGUAUGCUUGCCAUCAUGCCCGGGGACCAACAUCCAACCUACAUAGCAAUGGCGUCUAUGUCUCCACCUCCGCAUACUCUAUGAAGCUUGAUUAACUUUUAGAUCUUAUUUUAUUGUACUGUUCCCAAGCGGGAUAAAGGAGGAGGAUUGUACUAAGCGGCCUAAGACGGUCUUUGGUUGGCUUUUCAAAAAUAGCUUGUAAGUUGUAAAAGCUAAAACCCAUAAGUUUAAAAUUCUCAACUUUUUGCUUU